AACGAACGCUGGCGGCAGGCUUAACACAUGCAAGUCGAGCGCCCCGCAAGGGGAGCGGCAGACGGGUGAGUAACGCGUGGGAAUCUACCCAUCUCUACGGAAUAACGCAUGGAAACGUGUGCUAAUACCGUAUACGCCCUUCGGGAGAAAGAUUUAUCGGAGAUGGAUGAGCCCGCGUUGAAUUAGCUAGUUGGUGGGGGAAAGGCCUACCAAUGCGACGAUCCAUAGCUGUUCUGAGAGGAUGAUCAGCCACACUGGGACUGAGACACGGCCCAGUCUCCUACGGGAGGCAGCAGUGGGGAAUAUUGGACAAUGGGCGCAAGCCUGAUCCAGCCAUGCCGCGUGAGUGAUGAAGGCCCUAGGGUUGUAAAGCUCUUUCACCGGUGAAGAUAAUGACGGUAACCGGAGAAGAAGCCCCGGCUAACUUCGUGCCAGCCGCCGCUGUAAAAC
rnacentral:rRNA from 1 species